UGUGUAGGCGGUUUUCUAAGUCUGGUGUGAAAUCUCCCGGCUCAACUGGGAGGGUGCGCCGAAAACUGGAAGGCUAGAGUGCGGGAUGGGUAAGUGGAAUUCCUGGUGUAGCGGUGAAAUGCGUAGAUAUCAGGAGGAACACCUGUGGUGUAGACGGCUUACUGGACCGCAACUGACGCUGAAACACGAAAGCGUGGGUAGCAAACA
rnacentral:rRNA from 1 species